rnacentral:rRNA from 1 species
ANCCGCGNGNGGGGGCNACCAGUUGNANCGNCUGUUAAUACCGCAUAAUGUCUACGGACCAAAGUGUGGGACCUUCGGGCCACAUGCUAUCGGAGGUGCCUACGUGGGAUUAGCUAGUUGGUGAGGUAAUGGCUCACCAAGGCGACGAUCCCUAGCUGGUUUGAGAGGAUGAUCAGCCACACUGGAACUGAGACACGGUCCAGACUCCUACGGGAGGCAGCAGUGGGGAAUAUUGGACAAUGGGCGCAAGCCUGAUCCAGCCAUGCCGCGUGUGUGAAGAAGGCCUUCGGGUUGUAAAGCACUUUCAGUAAGGAGGAAGCGUUGAGUGUUAAUAGUACUCAGCGUUGACCUUCUUCAGAAGAACCACCUGCUAUUU